rnacentral:RNase_P_RNA from 1 species
CCGAUGGCCCACGCAAGUGGGAUCAGGUAAGGGUGAAAGGGUGCGGUAAGAGCGCACCGCGCGGCUGGUAACAGUCCGUGGCACGGUAAACUCCACCCGGAGCAAGGCCAAAUAGGGGUUCAUAAGGUACGGCCCGUACUGAACCCGGGUAGGCUGCUUGAGCCAGUGAGCGAUUGCUGGCCUAGAUGAAUGACUGUCCACGACAGAACCCGGCUUAUCGGUCAGUUUCACUU